AAGGGUAUAGCUCAAGUGGUAGAGCGCAUGCUUAGCAUGCACAAGGUCCUGGGUUCAAUCCCCAGUACCUCCU
rnacentral:tRNA from 1 species